AUUGAACGCUGGCGGAAUGCUUUACACAUGCAAGUCGAACGGCAGCACGGACUUCGGUCUGGUGGCGAGUGGCGAACGGGUGAGUAACAUAUCGGAGCGUAUCCAAUAAUGGGGGAUAACGAGUCGAAAGAUUCGCUAAUACCGCAUACGCCCUACGGGGGAAAGCUGGGGACCUUCGGGCCUGGCGUUAAUGGAGCGGCCGAUAUCUGAUUAGCUAGUUGGUGAGGUAAAGGCUCACCAAGGCGACGAUCAGUAGCUGGUCUGAGAGGACGAACAGCCACACUGGAACUGAGACACGGUCCAGACUCCUACGGGAGGCAGCAGUGGGGAAUUUUGGACAAUGGGCGCAAGCCUGAUCCAGCCAUUCCGCGUGAGUGAAGAAGGCCUUCGGGUUGUAAAGCUCUUUCGCAAGGGAAGAAAACUUAGCCACUAACAUUGGUUGAGGUUGACGGUACCUUGAUAAGAAGCACCGGCUAACUACGUGCCAGCCGCCGCGGUAA
rnacentral:rRNA from 1 species